rnacentral:rRNA from 1 species
UUAAACUGAAGAGUUUGAUCCUGGCUCAGAUUGAACGCUGGCGGUAUGCUUAACACAUGCAAGUCGAACGGCAGCACGGAGAGUUUACUCUUUGGUGGCGAGUGGCGGACGGGUGAGUAAUGCAUAGGAAUCUACCUUUUAGUCUAGGAUAACUACCCGAAAGGGUAGCUAAUACUGGAUGUGGACUACGGUUUAAAG